CGGUGAGUAACCUGCCUCUAAGAGGGGAAUAACAUUCUGAAAAGAAUGCUAAUACCGCAUAACAUAUAUUUAUCGCAUGGUAGAUAUAUCAAAGAUUUAUCGCUUAGAGAUGGACUCGCGUCCGAUUAGUUAGUUGGUGAGGUAACGGCUCACCAAGACUGCGAUCGGUAGCCGGACUGAGAGGUUGAACGGCCACAUUGGGACUGAGACACGGCCCAG
rnacentral:rRNA from 1 species